rnacentral:rRNA from 1 species
AUAGUUUACUAUUUUGGUGGCGACCGGCGCACGGGUGAGUAACGCGUAUGUAACCUACCUUAUACAGGAGUAUAGCCCGAAGAAAUUCGGAUUAAUCCUCCAUAGUAUUUUCUAAUGGCAUCAUUUGGAAAAUUAAAGCUUCGGCGGUAUAAGAUGGGCAUGCGUCCUAUUAGCUAGAUGGUAAGGUAAUGGCUUACCAUGGCUACGAUAGGUAGGGGGCCUGAGAGGGUGAUCCCCCACACUGGUACUGAGACACGGACCAGACUCCUACGGGAGGCAGCAGUGAGGAAUAUUGGUCAAUGGGCGCAAGCCUGAACCAGCCAUGCCGCGUGCAGGAAGAAUGCCCUAUGGGUUGUAAACUGCUUUUAUUUAGGAAUAAACCCCUCUACGUGUAGAGGGCUGAAUGUACUAAACGAAUAAGCACCGGCUAACUCCGUGCCAGCAGCCGCGGUAAUACGGAGGGUGCAAGCGUUAUCCGGAAUCAUUGGGUUUA